rnacentral:tRNA from 1 species
GGUGGGAUGGCAGAGCCCGGUUUAAUGCAGCUGUCUCGAAAGCAGCCAGGGUGUAACAGCCCUCGGGGGUUCGAAUCCCCCUCCCGCCA